UAAGACUAAUGCGUAUACAUAAAGGGUUUACAAACUUCAAGUUUGAUUGUGUUCGUUGAUUUUAAUUACAAUGAAGUCUUUAAUCGUAGUGUGUGCGUUGUUUUACAUUUGCACUGCAUUUCAAUUUCAUGUGGAAUUCUCGUAUAUACAAUCGUGGGAACACACGAUAGCGCCCGUUAGAGACCAAUGUUUAACUGAAAGUAGAUUGGACCGGCAGGUACUCUACGAUGCAUUGUUCACCAUGGAUUUCCCGGAAACCCGUGAGUUUAAGCGUUUUUCGUCAUGUAUUUGGUCGCAUUUAGGGUAUUACAAUUCUACUACAAGAAAAAUAAAUGCGGAGAAAAUUGGACAGGAAGUAAAAGGAUUUACAACAAGAAUUGCUGAAGAUUGUUACAAUGAGCACAAGACUAAGAGAAGUGCCUGUAAAAUGAUCUUCUAUAUCAUCAAGUGUGGCAUUCAGAAAAUGUAAAUUAAGACUCCGAAGUAAUGAGAUACUUUAGCUAUAAAUUUUAAGGUUUGUUAUGUAUUUACUUAUCAAAAAACCCAAAAAAUCGAAAUAUAUGUUUUCUUGGUG